GAAAGAGCAUUCUGUCUCCAUUAUUCCAGGCAUGAACCGUGAAUGAAAAAGGGAGGUAGUUGCUAAGUUCUUCUUUAUUUUCCUACUAUCUUUGGUUAAUAAAGUCUUAGAAUGAAUUAGAACUGAGAAAAGAGAAGUUUAGUUGGAGAAAAGUUCAUCCAAAGCCAAAAAUUUCUGGAUAAAUUGCUGCUUAAAGACCAAGAGGACAAAGCUGCUAUUUUCGGUUCUUUUCUUUAAAGUUUUGCUGGAUUUUGUCUAGAUGUACUUAAUAUACCUCCUAUCCUUAUUUUUAUGACAUGCACGUAUUGUUUUACUUGAAUCUAAGUGAGGUUAGUGUUGAAUUUUGAAGGAACUUUGCUAAAAAUUUUCUGGUUAUGUUGAUGCUUGAAGGCUGAUGGAGUAAAGCUGAAAAGUUGCAGCUUUAACUGCAAAAUUUUGCUGGUUUUGGCGAAGAACUCACUUCAUGUACCAUUUACCUCUUUUAUCUAGACAUGUAUGUGGUAUUUGUUGGGAUAGAAGGAAGAAAGACUAAUUGUUGGAAGAAACCUUGCUGAUCUGUUUGAAACUAAGGGAGACAGGAGCUUAUUUUACAGCCUCUUAUUGUGAAAUUUUGAGGAGUUUUCCCUAGGAAGUCAUGCUCUAAAUGUUAUAUUUCUUGUUUAGUAUGAUAUAUAGCAUGAUGCCUUUGAAUUUGGUAGCAAAUGGCUGGCCUAGAUGUGAGUUAUUGGUAGCAAUAAAGUUGGAAUAACUCAAGUGAAAGGUUGGAUUUCGGGUGACAGUCAUCCCUGGGCAGUUUUAGUAAAGUGAUCAUAACUUAGUGUAAAAAAAUCGAAAUUGAGUGCCGUCAAUUGCGUUUGAAACUAGACUAAUAGAUCUUUCUAACGGUAUAAAAUUGAAGCUGUCGCUCAUUUUACAUAUGCACCAGAAAAUCGCCCAAGUUGACUGAAAAAUGCGCCCUGCACAAAUAAAAACUGGGAUGUUGUAGUAAAUUUUGCCUCAAUUUGGACUAAUUUAUGAACCGAAUCUCCUUGAGGUGUUUGUUAAAGAUUGUUAGUAUUUCAAGUCUAGUUUUAAAUGAGCCAAGUUGUAUAAGUUUUUGACAUUUAUAACUCAAGUUAUGAUUUUCCCAAGAAAUAAUGCUUGCUGGAAUUUCAGCAUUGAUUGCUAAAUUUUCAAUACGAUUUUAAGCUCAAUUUGCUCAAAAUACCAUAUAAGACUUUAAACCACAAGUAUGUGCUGGAAAUGAACCAAAACCAUGGACCUUAAGUGGUUUAAACUCCAUUUAGUUCACUGUUUUCAUAGCUGGAAUUCUACUCAAGGCUGACCGAAAGAGAUAGUGAUUUUGUUUAGCUUUACAAUUGGCUUUGUGUGGUGAAAUCAUCUUGUUAAUGUCUUAAACAUAUGAUUAGACAUUAAUUUUGGUAUGAGUAGUGACUUGAAGUAGAAAAUGAAAGGUUGAGAUGUGAAAACUUCACUUUCACAUGUUUCAUGUCCCAAGCGAUAAAUUUCCAGUUUUAGUUGAGGAAAAUGAGUGUUAAUAUGUUAAUAUCAUGUUUAAUAUAAAUGUUAUCCAUGUCAUGUGAUUUUUCUAGCUUGUACAUGUUCUAUUAGUUUGCAUUUGGAAAUUUCAGCUUGUAGAGUUGAACUUUUGCUUGAUGGCCAGCCUUGGUAUGGAGACAUGUGAGUUGAAUACUUGUCUAUUUUUUGUGGCUUUAUGGUCUGAAACUAGUAGCUUGUAUAGCCUAUCAUUUGUGGUCUUGAUUUGGAUGGUUUGGCCAUGAAAUUUUGUAUUGAAUUUGGAGAGGAAAUAUAGGAUAAAACAGGGGUUAUGCUGUCCAAAUUUUGGGGCAGCUUACUACCUUGAUUUUGGACUGAUUUGGUGAUGUACUUGCCUAAUAUGCUUAGUGAACCUUUAAGCUUUGCUUAUGUAUUGCAUUUUGGUUGAAAUGGAAGGGUUUCAUUGGGAUUUUCUUCCAAAUUGCUGGCUAAAAUUGUGCUUGUUUGUCGAUGGAGAGUGCAGCCUAUUACAUUAUUGUUUUUCUAACCUUUUAGUAAUUGGUUUUGGCCAAAACUUGUUCCAAACUUUGGAGGAGCCUUUUGUGCAUGAAUUUGAGUGAAAACUAUGAAAAUUGGGAGGUGAAAACCUCAUGAUUGUACUUGUUUCAUGGCUGUGGGAAAAAUUCUGAUUUGGAGGGCAGUUUUGCACCUUACUACCUUUUAGCCUCAACGUCUUUAGUUUGAAAGUCUUUUGGACACAACCUCGCUGACUUGACUUGAGAAAACCUUGUUUCUUUCAUUGGUUCGCCGCUGAAAAAUUUCCCGCCAUGAAGCGAAUAAGGAACUUGUUGGUUAUUCAUGUUUCUUGAGUCAAAAAUGCUCUCAUACGCUUCAAAACCCUACUUGAGUUUUUGCCCUAGAGUAUACUUAAAUUUUUCCUUGAUUUGCAUUCUAAAUAUGGCUGUGUAUGUUGGGUUUUGAAAAAAAAAAUUAAAUUAACUUGGAGAGAUAUAUAACUCAUAGUCGAGUCUAAAUUAUGAAUUCUGUUCACUUGGUUAUUCUCAGGGCUUGUCUGAUCAAGGGGGCAAUCCAGGAGGAAACUUUUGACGCUAUUUUUGCUUGAACUAGUGAGUGUUGCAACUGCAAGUUCCAUGCUACUUGUUGUGCAAAUAUGACCUGUAUAUGACUUGUUACUUAAAUUGACGUGUUAUUACAUGGGUGAGUGUGUACUUUAUCACACUCGACCUAACUUGACUAAAUUCCUGUUUUACCACUAUAAAUGAAUUGUUUACAAGUGAACUGAGAUUCAUGCGCAUGAGUUGAAAGUAACGGCCUGGAUCCUAAAUCCCAUAGGUUAGUUAAUCAAGUCGAGCCGGCAAGGGCCUGGUCGAUUAGAUAACGAACCCUGGGUCUACUGUUUUGUCGAGUGGAGUGUUAUCUCCUCGACUAAUUGGUAUACUCGAGUAUUACCACCACUGUUUAUGUUUGGAGUUCGGGCCCGGUAGGGGAUUGAUUGGUGGAUGGAGGUUGGAGUUAAGUAGUGAUCUAUUGGACUUGUUAUGAUUCAAUGGUUGACGGAGUGUCAACAGAUUCUGAACAAGUUGUCACGGAACUUGUUCCCGAGAACAGACUGUAUCCUUUUGUAUGUAUGUGUUAUCGGUUGUACAUAGUUAAAUGAGUUGUCCGGAUGUUAUGUUCUUUAUGGAAAAUGUGAUCAUGCUAUCAUGUGAAUGCUAAAAUGCCUAAUUGCUUGUUGUUCUCUUGGAACUUCACUGAGCUUUUAGCUCAUCCCUUCAUUUGUUUUCCUUAACAGGGUACGGGGAUGACAAGGACAAGAAUAGUGCUAGUUGUAAUAGGAAAUCUUAAUCUUGUAUUUGGACGGCACUGUAUUAUGGUAUUAGUUUACAAGUUCUUAUCUUUUGGUCUGUAUUUUGGUUUGUAUAUUCGGAUGAUCGGUAGUAUGUAGAUGUUAUAUUGAAGAAUUUUAGCGUUAUUGAUUUGCUAUCCAAAGAAUAAGGAAUUCAAAAGUUGUAGUCCUU
rnacentral:lncRNA from 1 species